rnacentral:tRNA from 1 species
GUAGAGCAGUCUGGUAGCUCGUCGGGCUCAUAACCCGGAGGACGAGGGUUCAAAUCCCUCC